rnacentral:rRNA from 1 species
AUUGAACGCUGGCGGCAUGCUUUACACAUGCAAGUCGAACGGUAACAGGUCUUCGGAUGCUGACGAGUGGCGAACGGGUGAGUAAUGCAUCGGAACGUGCCCAGUCGUGGGGGAUAACGCAGCGAAAGCUGUGCUAAUACCGCAUACGAUCUAUGGAUGAAAGCGGGGGACCGUAAGGCCUCGCGCGAUUGGAGCGGCCGAUGUCAGAUUAGCUAGUUGGUGGGGUAAAGGCCCACCAAGGCGACGAUCUGUAGCUGGUCUGAGAGGACGACCAGCCACACUGGGACUGAGACACGGCCCAGACUCCUACGGGAGGCAGCAGUGGGGAAUUUUGGACAAUGGGCGCAAGCCUGAUCCAGCAAUGCCGCGUGCAGGAAGAAGGCCUUCGGGUUGUAAACUGCUUUUGUACGGAACGAAACGGUCUGGGUUAAUACCUCGGGCUAAUGACGGUACCGUAAGAAUAAGCACCGGCUAACUACGUGCCAGCCGCCGCCGUAAUAC